GACGAACGCUGGCGGCGUGCCUAAUACAUGCCAGUUGAGCGAUGAAGAUUGGUGCUUGCACCAAUUUGAAGAGCAGCGAACGGGUGAGUAACGCGUGGGGAAUCUGCCUUUGAGCGGGGGACAACAUUUGGAAACGAAUGCUAAUACCGCAUAACAACUUUAAACAUAAGUUUUAAGUUUGAAAGAUGCAAUUGCAUCACUCAAAGAUGAUCCCGCGUUAUAUUAGCUAGUUGGUGAGGUAAAGGCUCACCAAGGCGAUGAUACAUAGCCGACCUGAGAGGGUGAUCGGCCACAUUGGGACUGAGACACGGCCCAAACUCCUACGGGAGGCAGCAGUAGGGAAUCUUCGGCAAUGGACGAAAGUCUGACCGAGCAACGCCGCGUGAGUGAAGAAGGGUUUCGGAUCGUAAAACUCUGUUGGUAGAGAAGAACGUUGGUGAGAGUGGAAAGCUCAUCAAGUGACGGUAACUACCCAGAAAGGGACGGCUAACUACGUG
rnacentral:rRNA from 1 species